UAGCCAGCAUGGCAUCUACCUCCGCGAGGAGCAAACAUAAAACCAACAGAUAGAUAGAAACCCAGGCUGAGUGAGUCGUGAUGUCAGAGUGCUCUCGGUCGUGAGUUAAAGAGGACCAUUGCAGAAUUGGAGAUGGGAAAGCUUUCCACACACUGCGGGCUCUUCUACACCGAACCAUUCAAUUCCAGGCAGCCUUGAGCCUGUGGUAGAAACGGGAAUUCAUUCCGUGCACCCAUUCGGAAAUACUGUCCCCGCACAAUUCGCAGUGAAAGUUGCUCACUAUUGAUCGUCCGGCCUUUCUGCCCAGUUCUGAUAUCCCACUGGGUAGCUGCUGGCUGAAGGCUGGUCACACCAACCAUUCCCCAUUGGCCACCAACUGGAGUGACCUCAUCAGCCGCAGGACUGGAGAUCAAAAUGCUCCUGGCUUCUCACAGUCAGACACCAUGCUGCAGUGCGGGGCUCUGAAAGGCAAGGUUUCCCCUGGGACAUCUUCCAGCCCUGGCUUUGGGCCUUACUGUUUUCCACGAUCUUGGCUGCUACUUUUGUCCCUGCGAGGCAGCCAGGCCCUCCACUCCUGUUCCUUCAUCCUCAGCUUUCCUCUAUUCUUCUGGGAAGUUUUACUCGAGGAUGUGCAAACCGUUUCCCUAACUGAGGAAAAGGUCCCAGUUCACCGCCGGCGUUGCUCCAGCUUCCAUCCCUGAUCCCCACUUCUUCCUUAUCUCCAUUCAGGGCAGAGAUACAGGGUUAGCCCGCCCCACCACACAGACACACACAAAGCUCUGUGUCUUCAGCACCUCUUUCAACGCCUCCAUUGUUUUCACUGCGACUUCCAGCCAGUGCUGUACGAAAUUCUGUUUUCACUAGUUUCACAGUAUCUUGAGGUCUCCCAGUUUUGACUCAAUCUUGCUCUCUCGGUCCUAUUGUCUCAGGCUGAAUCAUUUGCAACCUCAAUCCAAAAUCGGCCUUGCAAAUCCAUUCGCAAAGUAGACAUUGAAGCAUUUAUACAUGUUUUACAAAUUGCCAGAAUGUGUCACAAAUAAUAGUCUUCGAAAUAUUUGCGACUGUUUGCAAAAGGGAAGGUGAGAAAAUUGUGUACUUUUGUCCUCAGCCCACGUCAAGACCUAGCUUCAGUCCCAUAACUGUUCGUUCAGUUGUUUGCUGUGAUACACUGAUUACCUCAUUGGCGUAUUUAUCUCUUCCUUUUGGAAAGUGAUUGGUGUAGGCGUCGGGAGCCAGUUAGCUUCUGAAAGGGCGGAGGAGGCAAAUUCAAUCAUAGGUUUGAAAAGGGAAUUGACCAAGAACGUGAACGAGGAUUAAAUUUGCAACGCUUUUGGGGAAUUGACGGAAGAGCAAUGAACUAAAUUACUCUAGAAGGGAGUUGCAUAGGCUUGAUGAAGCGAAUGGUGUCCUAUUCAACUAUUCCACACUAUCUUUUUGGAACAUUGUCUUCAACCCUGCCACAGCCCAAGACCAGGUCAAAAUCUGACUUCCAGACUCAAUUAUUUUAAGGCUGUCAUGGUGGACUCCCACUCUCUGGCCUCCAGGAGUAUUAAUUCAUCUAAAACACUGCUGCCAAUAUCUUAUUCUGCAUUAUGUCCUAUCCACUUGGCACCUUGUCCUCACCGACCAGCAGUUGAAACCUGUACCUCACGGAGUCUAGUUUAGUAACCUGAUGCUUGAGUUUAAUUCUUAUCAUGGUCUCAAGUCUCAUUACCUUCAUAACCUCUGCCAUUCCUACAAACUUUCCAGAAUCUUCCAUUCCUCUUUUUCUGGCCUUUUGUGCAACUCCUUGUACUGCACCCACCAUCAGUCACUGCAUUGUUAGCCAUACAGACCCUAUGUUUAUUAGUGUUCCCCUACUUUUAAGAACGUUUUCCAAAAUUUUAUUUUUUGACCAAGUUUUUGACCCUAACUCUUACUAUAUCUGUCCUUGGCCCAAUAGUCAUUUCAUUUUAUUGAGCCUUUGUGAAGCUGUUUGGGACAUGUCUCUUCAGUACAUGCAUAUUAUUGUUCUUCUUUGCUCAAUGGCUUUCUGUAAUCUUCUGUACUAGGUCCCUUAUUCUUCUCAUGUUCCACAUGUGAUGUCUAGUUCAAUAUGUUUGUAAUGUACUAUCUACUGACAACACAAAAAGGCAACCAACAAAUUAGUAUCCCUUCAAUAUUUAAUCUUCAUCUUGGUAUAAAUUAAGAAAAUACUGGGAAUACCUAACAGGUUAGGCAACAUCUGUGGAAAUGAACAGAGUUAAUGUGAUGAACUUUCAUCAGAACAGUCUAGGUAUCCUGUGACAUAUUUAGUCAAUGAGUAUAGGAGAUUGACAGCAUUUAAAGGCAUCUGCAUCAAUUGAGUGAAUGCAGCGCAAAAUCAUGCAAAAUAAUUGAUAAAAGAAGUAAGCUGCAAUCUGAGACAAAACGUUCUUGUAUAGUAAAUGGUUAAUGUCUCGAAUGUAUUGGCUCAAAGUGUGAUAGAGGCAGAGUGAAUUAAGACAUUGGAAAGGCUCUUAGACUGUUAACAGAAAAAGAACAAUGUGCAGGGUUACAGGGAGAAGGCAGGAAAUUGGCACUAAAAUGAAUGUUUAUUUGGAGAGCCAGUGUAGACUGAAUGGGUCAAAUGACUCCUUCUGCACAGUAACAAUUCUGUGAUUCUGUUACAGAUGGAUUUAUAAACUAUAUCAAUAUGAGUUUUUGGAAUCUGAAACCAGGAAGUUGAACCAUCUGUAUGAGAUGAAUGGGUUCUACAGGAGAGAACUAAUUGAAGGUUUAGGUGAUUUCAAAUCCUCCCAAAAAUACCAUGAGUGCCUCUUAUUCAGGUUCAGUGUCAUUCCUUUGUGUUGAUCCUUUACUUCAUGAAACAGAAGGAUAAAUAGAACUAUAAAACUAAAAUACCAUGGAUGCCAGAAAGCUGAAAUAAAACCGGAGAAUAUUGAUAAUACUUUAGCAGGUCUGCCAGCAUCUGUGGGGACAGAGAGGGAGAGAGAGAGAGACAGAGUUAACAUUUUUGAUGUUAAUGACAUGCUAAAUAUUUCCAGCAAUUUUGCAGAAAAAUAUUAGAAGUAGAACCCCUACAGUGUGGAAACAGGCCCUUUGGCCCAACAAGGCCCACCAAACCUCAGAGCAUCCCACCCAGACUCACCCCCACCCCCACAACCCACACCUCCCUGAACACUAUGGACAAUUUAGCAUGGCCAAUCUGCCUAACCUGUACAUCUUUGGACUGUGGGAGGAAACCGGAGCAAACCCACGCAGGCACAGGGAGAAUGUGCAAACUCCACACAGACAGUCACCCGAGGCUGGAAUCGAACCUGGGUCCCUGGUGCUGUGAGGCAGCAGUGCUUGCCACCGUGCCACAGGAAAUUGGGAUGAGAUGCUGACUUUGGACCAGUGGAGACAGCACUGACUGUGUCCAGUAGUGGAAAGACGGAAUUUGGUGUGCUCUUUAUUUGGUUACCUUUGGGAAGGUGUGAGUCAAUGGUAGAUUACCCCAUACACUCUCUCGUGAUAUCCUGGUGAUGUCGUGUCAAUAAUAGGGUGGAUGAUAUGUGUUUUUAUGGAAGGGGCAAGCUCAGUCGGUCAAAUGAUCUUCUCUACCAGGUGUUCUAAUAUUCAGUCAUUCAAGUAAAAUGCUUAAUUGAUUUCCACUUCUCUUGACAGAUAUAUUUUGAGACUCCAAUGGGGAUGCACUUGCGUCUGAAGCUGAGGCAGCUACACAAACCGAUCUCCUUGUACUAGUUGGGAUGAGAAGGGAAAGAUGAGGGGGAAGAACCUACGACUGAUCAGCUCCUCAAAUUGGACAUCACGUGGUCAGUGACUGUGGCUUGUGUGUGGAGUUGGUGCAGAACCACUGAGGCUGCAAAGAGAAAACAUCUGAAGACAAUCUUUCUCUCAGACUCUGUCCCAUGUGGAGGUACAGAAAGUCUCCAUCAAAAGCUACUCGUCUUCGAUUAACUUUUUUUCUGCAAAUGCCCUGCUGAAGAAGGAAUAAAGUGCCUUUAAAGACAGUGAAAUAAUGAAUUCUCAACCAAUGAAUGAAAGAGAGCAUUGCUGUGCAAAUACUCUUGUAUCAACAACAAAGUACUAAAAGGAAUUGGAAGAAACCUUGAAAACAACUAAUCAAUUCCUAUAGUCCAGAUUGGCGCUCUGGAACUGUGCUUUCCUGAUUUUAUAUUCUCUUUUUUACUCAUAGUAUCCAUGUCUUCUCUGUCUGUUUGUUAAGGGGGAAUCUUAUUAGUGCAGAAUUAAAUUACUCAAAGUUAUAAGCUAUCAAGUUAUUCUUCCUAAUUGCCAUGGGUUAAAGAUAAAUAAAGACACUAUUUUCUUGUUAAGUACAGAAA